rnacentral:rRNA from 1 species
GACAGCAGCAGCCGCGGGAAUACGUAGGGUGCAAGCGUUAAUCGGAAUUACUGGGCGUAAAGCGUGCGCAGGCGGUUUGUUAAGACGGAUGUGAAAUCCCCGGGCUCAACCUGGGAACUGCAUUCGUGACUGUAUAGCUAGAGUACGGUAGAGGGGGAUGGAAUUCCGCGUGUAGCAGUGAAAUGCGUAGAUAUGCGGAGGAACACCGAUGGCGAAGGCAAUCCCCUGGACCUGUACUGACGCUCAUGCACGAAAGCGUGGGGAGCAAACAGGAUUAGAUACCCCAGUAGUACCUGUCUCUUAUAC